rnacentral:misc_RNA from 1 species
GCAAACUUGGUCAUUUAGAGGAAGUACAAGUCGUAACAAGGUUUCCGUAGGUGAACCUGCGGAAGGAUCAUUAACAAAUCGAUUUUGUACGAAGAUGAAGAUAUGAUGUAGUUUUCGUACAAAUAUAUAUGUGCGCCAGCAUAUCAUGUGUGCUGGAAUGCAACAUUCAUGAAUAUAUUGUAUAUGUGUGUGUGUGUGUGUGUGGCACAUUUUCUAAAUGUAAAACAUACUUUUAACAAUGGAUCUCUUGGCUCUUGCAUCGAUGAAGAACGCAGC